GUUUUAUUGAUUCUUUUUUUCUCACAUGAAAACAAUGAGGGGACAUCUCACAAACCAUACUGAUAAAUCAGAGGGAACUGCACAGACAUGACCUGGAGGGACAGUGCAGCAUCAGGAUUCCAGACUGUUCUUUGAAAGGUACGAACAAAACAUUUCUUUGUAGUAGGAAGGCUGCAGUAAGAGCAAGCUGCUACAGUGCUGCUCUGGGAGCAGAUGUGCAGAGGAGAUUCAUACCGUAUGUAGGAGCCUGACAACACACAGACUGUGCUCAGUUUCAAGCCAGGUCUGACACUGCUUAGUUGGGGCUGAUUUUGGUCCUUGCUGAGAUGUCCUGUAUCCAGGGAGCUGCUGCCCUGCUUACAUGUGCUUGUAAAUGCCUGACUUGGAGUUUGCUCAAAAGAUAGGGGGUGCAAGCCCAGGGAGCUGUGGACUUGCACCAAUUUUUGUUUUCAUCUCACUUAGGCUUUGUCUUUUGAUAGAAUACAGCAGAAAGAAAAAAACAAAACAAAACAAAACCAAAACCAACAAAGAUAGUAGCAGAAAGGAGGGGAAAAAAACACAAAGUCCACCAACUCUUAGGACAGAAAGAAGAGUAGUAAUUCCUGCUAGACCUUUGAGUUGUAUGUGCUCAAGUAGGAAUUGCAGGAGCUGGCAGACAUACAGUGACGGGCAAUGUGCUUCCCAGCACCCUGGGAAAAAGGAGAAAUGGACAAUCCUAGUGGUCUUGUAAACAUUACUGUCCCAGAAGCUGGGGACAAGGAGUGGAGCUUGGCCUGGCUUACCUUGCUGCAUCUCUCAUCAGUGGAACUUGCUGUCAUCAGAUAGAAACAAACAAACAAAAGCCCUCAGCAGAAUUCAGGAGUACAGAAGUGGCAUUUGUACCCAGUGGGCUGUUCAAGAGGCAGGAGGUUCUGGCCUUGCUUCACCUCCCAGGUAAGAGGGAAUGGGGCCAGACUGAAUUUCACAAGCUAUGUUUUUUUUUUUCCCUAGGUUGCUGAAGAAUUUGUUCUGCCCUGGGGGCAGCUCACUGCUUUAUCUCUGCAGUAUGACAAGGUACUGAGAGAGGAACGGGUAGAAGGUGGCUGGUAUUUUAGUUCUACGGCCUUAUUAUCUACUGCAACCCAAAAAGCGUUGCUGCCUUCCUGUGUGCCAGCCAGCAUCAGUGCUGUAAGGCACGGAGUUCUCUUUUGGGGGUGUUUUAUAGUGUUAAAUCUUUCACAGAAAUGAUUACAUUCUGCAGAAGUAUUUGUUAAAAAUAUUGCUGGAGAUGGGACAGUGAACUUCAUGGUUUUCAGGUAGCUCUUCUUGAAAUCCCCUAGGUAGCAGAAAGCAUUGGUGGUGAGUGCAGGAGCUUUUGUGUUGGAAAACUUUGGCACAUGCUUUGGUAUCAGCCCAUGGGGUGACUUUUGUGCUGUUUCCAUUCUGCACAGGCAUAUACUCUGAGUGUAGGUGGUGAAGCUGGAGGGUGCUGUACCCCAACUGGUGCCAUUAUGCAUCCUAUUUCUUAAAGGAUGAUUUCAGACCAAAACCCAGUUUUGGUUUCCUGCUCAUUCUGAUGGUUGCUGUGGCCUCUCACAGCAUGCACCUAUGUGACGUGCGGAGAAAAGCCUAGCGAUUAGCAUGGGAACUGAAGAGAUAAAAAGAUAUUACCUUCAAAGACUGAAGCUUCACUGUUUCCAGGCUUCCCAGAUGCUGUGCUCCCACGAGGAGGAGGGACAGAGGCCCCUGACAGCCCGCUGUGGCUGCUGUGGGUGGCUGACAUUUGCCUUUCCCUGCUGCAGAUGCUGCAGAUGGAGAUUGCAGACGGCACGUGUCGGUGACUCCCCCAGGAGCACGGCUUAGCCCUGUGUUGCAGUAUGCAGUGCUGAAGGAGGGGGGCAGAGCAGAGAGGCCUGUGGCAACAGAAGGAGAUGGAAUUGCUUGCAGCAAGCUGUACAGAACAAAUCCUGCAUCCUGCCUGCAGCAAGGAAGAUGUGGUGUGCUGGAUCAAACAAAGCCCAGGGAUCUGGCCCAAAUGCAAGUAAUUUUAAGCUGCCAGAGAUAAGCCUGUUGGCUUUCAGCUGUGGUUGAGGUGACCAUGGCACAGACACCACAUGCCACAGCUGGCCUCCGCUUGCCCAGCAGGUCUCCAUCAGCUUGAGGCAGUGUCUCCUCCUCCUCCUGGACAUGACUAUUCUACAUCAGAGCAGGGAACCUGAAUGUUCCAGCGUGUGCUGGAUUGCUGUGCACUGAGCAGCACUGGGACAGCAGCUCCAGACAAGCAGAGAGCUGCAGUGGAGGUUAGAGCACAGCCUCUGGAUCACCCCGAGUCCUUCUCAGGAUCUGAGAGAUGGAGCUUUGUUGGGGUAGCAACAACGAGUCACUGCUUCUCUGCUACCCCAUGUGUUUCUAGCUCCCUUAUUGCCCAGAGCCAUGUUAGUCUGUGCCCAUUGCCACAUGGAAUCAUACCUGGAUAAGUGAUGUUUGCACUUUUUCUAACCCAGAGCUGUUUUUUAAGAGUCUGGAGUUUGAGAAGAGUAUUUUUUAGAAAACAUUUCACUUUGGGUGAAUGGGUCUAGCAGAAACAGUGCUUUCUUGUAGUCAUAAAUCCAGGCUCAAAACAAAAACUCCAGGGCUACCUUGCCCCAGUCGCAUUAGCCUAAUGAACUACCAGAUCCCUGCAGCCUCCUUGGGCCACUGACAAGGGACUGCUGCCUCCCCAGCCUCACGUGCUGUGCCUGAGAUGAAACAACUCCUCUACACACUCCAUUCUGUCACCGUUAGCCUGGAUACUGCAUAUCCAAAAUGGAGUCAGGGCUGUGCUACGUCUGAGAUGCUCCAGCAGUUGAUAGCUGCAAAGGUUUAGGAUGGCACUUAACAACAUUUUGAGGACAGAGGUUGUUUGUGCAGCAGCAACUUCAAGUAAACCUGACUGCAGAUAGCACAGCCUCUACCAAGAGAGACAUUAGCUGCAGGAGCCAGGCAAGCUGCAUUUCAUUUGCUUCUUUGACAAACUGUUACUAGACUUCUUAAAUGUGAUCCAAGCAUACCGAAGCCUUGUCCAGAGAUGGACUCUGUGAAUUGCUGUGGAUGGCAGUGUUGCAGUGGCGUAAGUCUGACAGAUUGGGGCAUCCUGGUCA
ensembl:lncRNA